rnacentral:lncRNA from 1 species
CUCUCGCACUGACACCUGUUUGACCACAGCAAAAGCCUAGCUUUCCCUGCAUUGCAUGGAGUCAUUAAUGUGAGAGAGAGGACAGGCAAGGCCAGGAGAGAGCAUGUUGGGAAAGGUAAUUGGAAUGUCCAAGCAAGAGGAUUCUUUCCAGCCCGAAGCUGCGGUGUCUCAGAGAGGCCCUCAUUCAAUAUAUCUCUUUGGCUGCCACCUGAGAGAGUGUUUUUACCAAACGCUCAGCUUCUUCAGAAAGCUUCCACCAAUGAUCAUGUAAAAGGGGAAGAGGGGAGACUGCAGAGAAAAACAAGGCUUCGCAAAUGGCAAAGCUUAAGAUCUCCUCUUAAACCUGAGUCGUGGUUGACAUUAUUUAAUAGAGCAUCUUUUAGCAUUAGUAAAAGGCUGCAACAUUUGCUUUGAAUGGGAGACAGUUCUCUUCCUUUAAGUUAGUACUGAGAAAUAAAUCCUGAAAACCGGUUAAAAUUGUAGUUGGC